rnacentral:rRNA from 1 species
AGCGAACGUUUGCGGCGGGCUUAACACAUGCAAGUCGAACGAGAAUCCCUUCGGGGAGGAAAGUGGCGCACGGGUGCGUAACACGUGGAUAACCAACCCAUUGGUUUGGGACAACACCGGGAAACUGGUGCUAAUACCAGAUGUGUCGCAGCUGUCUUCAGGCGGUUGCGAGAAAGGCCCGCAAGGGUCGCCAACGGACGGGUCCGCGUCCCAUCAGCUAGUUGGUGAGGUAAUGGCUCACCAAGGCAAAGGCGGGUAGCUGGUCUGAGAGGAUGAUCAGCCACACUGGAACUGAGACACGGUCCAGACUCCUACGGGAGGCAGCAGUGGGGAAUAUUGCGCAAUGGGCGAAAGCCUGACGCAGCCACGCCGCGUGAGCGAUGAAGGUCUUCGGAUCGUAAAGCUCUGUGGGGGGAGAAGAAGAAAGCCGGUGAAGAGCCGGCCCUGACGGUAUCCCCUUAGCAAGCACCGGCUAACUCCGUGCCAGCAGCCGCGGUAAAGUAU